GACGAACGCUGGCGGCGUGCUUAACACAUGCAAGUCGAACGGAAAGGCCCUGCUUUUGUGGGGUGCUCGAGUGGCGAACGGGUGAGUAACACGUGAGUAACCUGCCCUUGACUUUGGGAUAACUUCAGGAAACUGGGGCUAAUACCGGAUAGGAGCUCCUGCUGCAUGGUGGGGGUUGGAAAGUUUCGGCGGUUGGGGAUGGACUCGCGGCUUAUCAGCUUGUUGGUGGGGUAGUGGCUUACCAAGGCUUUGACGGGUAGCCGGCCUGGGAGGGUGACCGGCCACAUUGGGACUGAGAUACGGCCCAGACUCCUACGGGAGGCAGCAGUGGGGAAUAUUGCACAAUGGGCGGAAGCCUGAUGCAGCAACGCCGCGUGCGGGAUGACGGCCUUCGGGUUGUAAACCGCUUUCGCCUGUGACGAAGCGGGAGUGACGGUAAUGGGUAAAGAAGCACCGGCUAACUACGUG
rnacentral:rRNA from 1 species